rnacentral:lncRNA from 1 species
GCCACCCCUGCUCUGCCCCCGUGUACGCGGCGUCUUCGGCCACGCUUCUCUGCUCAGUCUUCAGCUCUCCGGCGGUACUCCUUUCCUCAUGCGUCCGCAUGUACGUCUGGUCCCCAUCAAUCAAAGUCGCGUACUGGGCCGCCAAUACCGAGAAGAAAUGGUGUCCCUGCUCUGGGCGCGCCGUCGAUCCGCCGUCUCCAAUACCGCCAAUGGCGCUCCUCACCUUUGCGGACACCCAGCAAUCGGAAGGUGGAGGAGGAGUCCACCAGCACGUGUGGUGUACGGGUGCUGCAUCGUGAAGACUUAGAUCAACCGGCUGGGGGCCAAAAUCGGUUAACAGGGCGAGCAGGUCACCGCGUGUCGCCUCCAUCUCGUGCCGCCGUCCCUUGCCGACCCCGCCGUUCGGUGGAUGCGGUUCAGUAAGAGGGUGCCCGAUCGUGUGAUUGGAUCGGGCAGGGUGGUGAUUUGGUGCGCAUUGGACAUCGGGAUGGCCUAACUUCUUCACCGUCAAACAAACUACCGCAAUGCCGCACUGCAGCAUGGUCACGCGAUUUGGUGCUGCCACCGUAGGUAAGGAUUUCCCUAAUGUAUUCACUACUCGUCGGACAUCGCGUAGGAGUAAUCUGGUGGGCUUUGGUUGGGGGAGCGCCGAAUUGGGGCCGCUCCGGCCAGUGGCGCCGCCGUGAAGAUGGGGGCUGCCGUGGUUGGGUUGAGUUGGGGAAGAUGAUCAUCUGAACGCUCAUCUCAAAAUGGACGACCGUGAUGGCAACGCCGCAUACCUGCUCGCGUUGUUACAUGCUGACCGUAGAUCGUCUUAUGGAGGGAUGAGAGGUGAUCCUGGAAUUUUAAUAUCUAGGGCAUUGAUUUUAGAUCCAAGGGCUCCUACUGCUUACCGGUUCACUGAAAUCGUGAUCUAAUCUGGGCCCUCGGCUUUUGAUCGGACGACCCUGAUUGACUCGUACCCCUUCGCGAGUGAACGUUUACGUAUGAGACUCUAAGAAAUCCUGUAUUAAACCCGCAGUCCGUCCCAGUGUUAGCUCUGAGUCUGGGAAAUAUUUCGUGUUAGCCCCUGUUAUUCUCUGAAUUCAUGCGCACAGUCCAAACAGCGAAUAAAAUCAGAGAAAUUCAUUUUAAAUUCAUUUUUAAUACAAAAAUAAUGGUAGAAACUUGUAUAAUUCAUAGAAAAUUCAUAUUAAAUUCUUUUAAGUCCAUUUCAGUUUCUAUAAUUUUGUAUUAAUAUUGUCUAUUACUUGGUAACACUGUUUUAACAUGAAAUCUACACUAAAAUUGAUUACUCAAUUAAUUUUGUAGCAAGUACACACGAACUUCGUAAAUUCAUAACUUCCUCGUUUUAACUCCAAUUUGAUACGUUCAAGUUGCAUUAGUCUCAUAUAAAUAAUUACUAUGCAAUAACAACACUUAUUAUACCAUGUCUCAUUUCUUUUAUAAUUGGGUCUUUAUUUAACUGAUGUUGGUUAGUGUGGUUAAAUUGCUUAUCAUUGUGGACUACUAGAAUAUGAUCUAUGGUUAAUUUAUAACUUAGAUUAAAGUUGAGAUAAUAAUUUAUAGAAUAACAUCUUAUAUGAUUUAUAGUAACCAAUUUAUGAUAUAGUUUAAUAUUUUAAUCACAUAAAUCCUCCAUGAAAUCAUAACUCCUUAACCGUAACUCCGAUUUUAGUGGUUCUUGUUCCCGCGAUCUCGUAGCAACGCGUAGAUUAUUAUUAUUCAGUUUGUACUUAUGUUUGGUGUGAUGUUAAUUUUGUAUAUACCUACGACUAGCAAUGCGAUCACGAGGAUAUGAAUGUAAUACCCACUUUGUAAAGAAAGGUCUAAAAAGAGAAAUUAUGUUACUCUAUAGCUAUAUGUGUUAUCCCCAUUUAUCAUUUCAUGAGAACAUCACAUGGGAACCUAUAAAUAAAUAACAAAAGACACUCAAACAAAUCUUGCAUCAUGCUGAGUUUUGCUUGUUUGUGCAUUGGUGGUUAAUAGAUUAAAUGUGUCAUUAAUGGCGUAUCAAUGGAUCCAUAGAGUUUAAACCCUAACUUGAAAAUAAAACCAUGAGAAUAUAGAAAAGAAAAAGGAAAGAGUAUAGAAUUCAUAGAAAAUAUAUAUACAAAAAUAAGUAUCUUUAAAGUCAGUACUUUAAUGGCACAACAUAAAAUUGAGGAUGAAUUUGCCACUAGAAUGGAAUUUAAAAUUUGAAAUCUAAAAGAAUAAUAAAAAAAAAGAAGGGAAAAGACAAAAGAAAAUAAAGUAAAAAGAAAAAGGAAUAAAACCCUAACUGGGCCGACUGCCUCCAAUUCGGCCCAGCUCCACACUCCCCUCUGCGCAGCCCAGGCGAGAACGUGGUUGCGCUGUGAGCCACUGACCGGUGGGUCCCACGUGCAGCCUCACCGUUUCACGCCGCGCACUCAUCUGUUCCACUGAAUCGCGGGACCCGCUUGGCAGACUCAUCGUCUUCACCGACCCGGUCUUCGCGGCAACGAAAUCGCUCGGCGGAACGACCUCCGAGCUGCGCGGUGCCGUUGCGGAGUUCCUCGGGUUGACCUCCUGGGGUCCAUAUAGUUGGCCCUCGGGCUAUACCAGACCAGUCGUGCCCCCAUGUUGCCGCCACCAUAGCCAGUACGAGCAGAGGGUGCCGCCGUCGGUGAUUACCGUCUCCAUUGCCGCACCGCCAUCGGAAUUCGGGGCCGGGACUUCGCCUCUCCGUGUGGUGCUUGCGCGGCGUCGCGGUGAUCGGAGAGCCAACAGGGCCGAGCAAUUUCUCGCCGUAGUACUUCACCGCCGCGGCAGCCGCGGAAUCACGGGGUCCGGCUUCGUCGUCGCUUCAACCCUUCGGUAUGGCCUUCAACCACCUUUACUGCGUUUGUAGGAACGUCAUGCAUCUAUCCGUUGUAGUUCGAGGCACCGUAGCGUCGCUUGGGUAGCUCACCAGACUUCUCUGCCCGGGGUAACGCGGCGCGCCGUGGACCGAGUCUUGCACUUGAUGUCGGCCGAAAUUUGUUUGGGGAUUGAGUUCAGGGAGUCGUCCAUCUUGUGGGGGCCGAACGAAUUUGGGUCUGGCGCUCGGGUUGGCCGGAUUCGUGGGCUCCGGUGACCCCGCCGCCGUGUGCAGUGGCUGGUUGGGUGGCUCGGGCAGGGUUGAAGACGAAGCUUCCGCGGCCGUCGGAUCAAGAUCUGGCGGUCACAAGCUCAUACCGGUUCAACGUCCAGAUCUAACCGUACCCUUUCGCGCUGGCACUUUUAUUAAAGAGCCCCUGGAAAAUCAACAAAUCAACCCGCCAUCCACGCGAGGUUAGCUCUGUGUCUAUAGAUUUGUACCCCGAGCCCCCUGCAUUUCACAGAAAUUGAGGCCCAGUCCAUAGUUCUUUAAAUUCAGUUAUUUAAUUAUAGAAAUUACUUUUUAAUACAAAAUAAUUGCUAGAACUUUGAUAAUUCAUAGAAAAUACAUAUGAACUCCAAAUUAAUCCAUUCCACUUUCUAAAAUUUUGUAAUUUUAUUAUCUAUCACCUAGAGCCUCUGUUUUAUCAUGAAACCAGUAAGAAAAUUAAUCUCACACUUAAUCUUAUUUAAAACACAUAAAACCUUUGAAAAGGCAUAACUUAAAUUCUGUAACUCCAAAAAUUAUGAUUUCUGUUCCUAGAAUUUUAUUUUAAUAUGUAGAACAUCUCUGUGUAUUUGGUUUAUAUGUUUGGUGUAAUGUUAAUUUCUCUAUAUGCACUGUGCUUGUUUGUAUUGUGGCGAGUAGAAGAGCCCGUUGCUGAGGAUCUUGGUGAGCAGCAGGUUGAAGUAGCUGAGCAGGAGCUCAUUGAAGGCAAGUUGUGCCCUUGACCACUUUUUACCCAAUAAUGUUCUUUAAUAUCAUUUAUCCAUGCAUAGGUUAAUUUUGAUGGGACCCAAUAGGACACCCUAGAUUGUUUAUCUCAUUACCUUGUUUACCCCUGAAUCACUUGGGUAGUUCGCUAUUGCUUUACAUGGUUUUGGGAUAAUCAUUUAUUAUAUCUAUGUUCCAAUUAUUCUUGUUAUUCUAUUUAUGUUCAUGUUAAGAUCAUUAAUGUUAAUUGGAACAUAGAGCUUAACUUGAGAAACACGUGCCACCACAAGGGUUUAAUGGGACGCCCUUGGCUGACUAAUUAGGAAAGCUAGUAGAUGACUACCUUACCCGAAAGGGGCAAGGGCAGUAGGGGAGUGGUCAGUGUAGGGAGGUCCUUGGUUGAUUUUGCUGCGAUGGCAGUCAGUCAAGAACCCUGCAUUGGAACUUCCUAUAAACUGUAGCGGGUUUUCGGAAGCUAGUGGAACUUUGUAAAGGCCUCGUAGUGUUGCCCUGCCGCGCUUCCUAGGUAGAGGUGUAUGGGAUUCGCGACCCCUUGGCAGAUGGGUAGCAUGACUUGUGGGUAAAGGGUAGAACCUCUGCAGAGUGUAAAAACUGGUAUACUAGCCGGGCUCACGGUCAUGAGCGGCUCAGGACUCUCUGAUGAUUAAAUUAUGAAACCUAAAUUCAAUUUUGUCAUUUGCAUAUGCAUGGGUUUAUUAUUAAUUUUGUUCUAUUAUUUUAUUUAAGGUUUGGUAUUUACUUACACUUAGUAACUGCUAAUAAAAGUUUGACCAACAUUAAAAGCAAUGCUCAGCUUUAACCAUUCUCUUUGAUAAGCCUUACACUCCAUGAGCUCCCACCUUUGGUGAGUUCAUGUCACAUUAUUCCCCACAACUUGUUGAGCGAUGAACGUAUGUGAGCUCACCCUUGCUGUCUCACACCCCCCCACAGGAGAAGAGCAGGUGGUUCAGGAGGAGCCACAAGGCGAGGAG